GAUGAACGCUGGCGGCGUGCCUAAUACAUGCAAGUCGAGCGAACAGAUGAGAAGCUUGCUUCUCUGAUGUUAGCGGCGGACGGGUGAGUAACACGUGGGUAACCUACCUAUAAGACUGGGAUAACUCCGGGAAACCGGGGCUAAUACCGGAUAAUAUUUUGAACCGCAUGGUUCAAUAGUGAAAGACGGUUUCGGCGGUCACUUACAGAUGGACCCGCGCCGUAUUAGCUAGUUGGUAAGGUAACGGCUUACCAAGGGGACGAUACGUAGCCGACCUGAGAGGGUGAUCGGCCACACUGGAACUGAGACACGGUCCAGACUCCUACGGGAGGCAGCAGUAGGGAAUCUGCCGCAAUGGGCGAAAGCCUGACGGAGCAACGCCGCGUGAGUGAUGAAGGUCUUCGGAUCGUAAAACUCUGUUGUUAGGGAAGAACAAAUUUGUUAGUAACUGAACAAGUCUUGACGGUACCUAACCAGAAAGCCACGGCUAACUACGUGCCAGCCGCCGCGGUAA
rnacentral:rRNA from 1 species